AAGGCAGGGAAGGGAUCAGAAGAAGGAGACGGAACACUUGGAUUGGUGUUGUCUAGCAUGGAUGAAUUGUUGGGAUUUGGAGAUUAUAUGUUGUUAUUGGUGAAGUGAAAGAAAAUCAAUCUUUACCUGUACAGGUGGUGAAGUUUUUGGUGUAGUGGGGUUUUCAGCUUUACUGAUAGAAGGAAAUGGGUAGAGAGAGAAAGAGAAAGAAAGUUUUAAAGACAGAGAAAGAGAGAGAAAGAACGUGGAGAAAGAAAAGCUCUUGCUUUCUGCAAUCAACUUUCUUUAAGCUUUUUAGCUUUUGUAUUUGGCCAUGGGCUUUCUUGGUUUUGUUGUUUCAUUGACCCCCCACCCUUCAAC
rnacentral:misc_RNA from 1 species